GCUGGCGGCACGCCUAACACAUGCAAGUCGAACGAAGUAGCAAUACUUAGUGGCAGACGGGUGAGUAACAUGUAGGUAUCUGCCCUUUGGCCUGGAAUAACACGAGGAAACUUGUGCUAAUACCGGAUAAGUCUUUACGGAGAAAGCUUUAUGCACCAUUGGAUGAGCCUGCACUUGAUUAGUUUGUUGGUGGGGUAAUGGCCUACCAAGACUGUGAUCAAUAGCUGAUUUGAGAGGAUGAUCAGCCACAUUGGGACUGAGACACGGCCCAAACUCCUACGGGAGGCAGCAGUGGGGAAUCUUGCACAAUGGAGGAAACUCUGAUGCAGCGAUGCCGCGUGAGUGAAGAAGGCCCUUGGGUUGUAAAGCUCUUUCGUCGGGGAAGAAAAUGACUGUACCCGAAUAAGAAGGUCCGGCUAACUUCGUGCCAGCAGCCGCGGUAAUACGAAGGGACCUAGCGUAGUUCGGAAUUACUGGGCUUAAAGAGUUCGUAGGUUGUUGAAAUAGUUGGUGGUGAAAUCCCAGAGCUUAACUCUGGAACUGCCAUCAAAACUUUUCAGCUAGAGUAUGAUAGAGGAAAGCAGAAUUUCUAGUGUAGAGGUGAAAUUCGUAGAUAUUAGAAAGAAUACCAAAUGCGAAGGCAGCUUUCUGGAUCAUUACUGACACUGAGGAACGAAAGCAUGGGUAGCGAAGAGGAUUAGAUACCCUCGUAGUCCAUGCUGUAAACGAUGUGUGUUAGACGUUGGAAAUUUAUUUUCAGUGUCGCAGGGAAACCGAUAAACACACCGCCUGGGGAGUAC
rnacentral:rRNA from 1 species